AGCAGGGCCACCGGUGGGUGGGAGGCACUGGGACAAUGGGGGCAGAGAGGGGAGCUUGGCUGCUGAUGGGUGCUGGGCACCCACUAAGUCCCUGUGGGUGCUUCAGCCCCAGAGCACCCACGGUAUCAGGAUCUAGGUAGUUUGGCCCAGAGCAAAGAUAUUUAGGUGCCUAACAACAGGCGUCUGAAGCUCUGAGUCUCCUCCGAGAGAGGAGUGAUGUGGAGACCGGUUGACUUGGUACCUCCAGCUCUUUCCCAGUAGAGACAUCGAGGCUCUGCACAUGGGCCAGGCCAUGGCAGACCCUGCUGCACUGGAAGUUGAGCCAGCCUUGAAAAAUGCAGGGGAGUUGACAGUAAAUUGUUCCCCAGGCUCCCACUGAUCACGUGAGGAAGGGUUUCUUCCAUUUGCCAGGGUAAUGAUCCGUGGACACAGGCCGACACAGAAAGCAGCCACGUCAGCAGCUAUGCCCAAGCGAUGCCUCCUCCAGUGCUCUGCAGCCCCUUCUCCUGGGGGAGACGGGGCCAUAGCGCAGCGACUCUGGUUUAGCUCUGGGAGAGGAGAGGCCUCGGGCUGCCGCACUGGCAAAGUGACCCCAUGUCCCAAAAGAAUCUUCGUUAAUACUUGCAGGCAUCUAAGCGUUGGUGCUGACCCGUCUUCUGGGACCCAUCCGAGCUGCGGGAGAGAAGCAAGCACAGACAGUUACGCUGAUUAAUCCAAAGUCCCAUUAAAAAGAGCUCAGUUUCUUUGGCCCGAGACAAGGUGUUAAUAUUUGCUGGCAUCCACUCGGCCGCGAUAUUGCAACACAACAUGCCAGAAAUGGAAGGAGCUCACCCCGGAGCUCUGAGCUGCACCCUGCCAGCACCAGGCACAGAAGGAUGUUGCUGGGGGGCAGCCUGAUUCGUAGCCGUCUCGUGACUGCCAAGGGGGAUCUUAGCGAAGAGCUCCGAUCUGAGGCACGAGGAGCAAGAAUCUCUUGCCAGACGAGACAUUCUUGUUGCUGGAUUCGGACUUUCUCCUGCCUAAAGGAAGAGACUCAGGAUAUUAAGCAUCACUCACUCUCCAUUACUUUCCCCUUCUGGGAUGUGAUCACCUGAUUCAUUAUCUCCAAAGGGGACAGCUGAGAGACUCUGGCCCAGUGUAAGGCUCCUCUGUUUAAGGGGGCUAACCUGCUGCUUCUCUUCACCCAGCUAGCUGGGAAUUCAAGCCGUCCCUUUGGUCGUGGUUUUUUGAUACAGCUAAAACUGAGCCCGGUCCUGAACUUAAGAGACGUUGAAGAAAGGAAAUGGCAGGCAAAGGAAGGAUGGUUCCAUGGUUUGGACCUGCCUAGGAUUUGAAGGACUUAGUUUCUGCUUUGCCACUGACAUCCUGUGUGACCUGGGCAAGUCACUUAGUCUCUCUGCGCGUCCGUUCCCCAUCUGUAUUGUAAGCUACACACAUGGAAGACUGUGAGGGGCAGGUGCUUAGAAACUAAGUGGUGAGGGGGCCAUAUAGAAUCUCACAAAUAAAUGGCAGGAGUGACCUCAAGAGGUCAUCUAAUCUAUCAUCUCCCGCUGAGGCAGAAUUAAGUACACCUAGACUGUCCCUGACAGGCGUCUCAAUCCGCUCCCUGCACGGGUGACACAAC